UGAUGUUUCAGGAGGGCGAUAAAGGAAGU
rnacentral:piRNA from 1 species